GAUGAACGCUGGCGGUAUGCCUUAUACAUGCAAGUCGAACGAGAUUUUUAAUCAAGUGGCGGACGGGUGAGUAACACGUAAGAAUUUACCUUUAGGAGGGGGAUAACAAUUGGAAACAGCUGCUAAUACCCCAUAUGCUUUUAAGUGAAAUGGAUUAUUUUCCGCCUGAAGAGAAGCUUGCGGCUGAUUAGCUUGUUGGUAAGGUAAAAGCUUACCAAGGCGACGAUCAGUAUCUGGUUUGAGAGGACGAUCAGACACACUGGAACUGAGACACGGUCCAGACUCCUGCGGGAGGCAGCAGUAGGGAAUUUUCCGCAAUGGGCGAAAGCCUGACGGAGCAAUACCGCGUGAGGGAUGAAUGCCUAUGGGUUGUAAACCUCUUUUUUCAGGGUAGGAAAUAAGACGUUACCUGAAGAAUAAGCAUCGGCUAACUCCGUGCCAGCAGCCGCGGUAA
rnacentral:rRNA from 1 species